GAUGAACGCUGACAGAAUGCUUAACACAUGCAAGUCGAUGGGGAAGUGGUGCUUGCACCAUGGCAACCAUGGCGGACGGGUGAGUAACGCGUAAGGGACUUACCUGCAGGACUGGGAUAACAGGGGGAAACUCCUGACAAGACCGGAUAAUGUCAUGGAGCUGCAUGGCUUUAUGAUGAAAGGAGACGCCUGCGGAGAGCCUUGCGUCCUAUUAGCUAGUUGGUGAGGUAAUGGCUCACCAAGGCGAAGAUAGGUAGCCGGCCUGAGAGGGUGGACGGCCACAAGGGGACUGAGAUACGGCCCUUACUCCUACGGGAGGCAGCAGUGGGGAAUAUUGGACAAUGGGGGCAACCCUGAUCCAGCAAUUCUGUGUGCACGAAGAAGGUUUUCGGAUUGUAAAGUGCUUUCAGCAGGGAAGAAGUAAGUGACGGUACCUGCAGAAGAGGCGACGGCUAAAUACGUG
rnacentral:rRNA from 1 species